GACGGAUGGUGCAAGCGUUGCUCGGAAUCACUGGGCGUAAAGGGUGCGUAGGCGGCUUGGUAAGUUGGGUGUGAAAGCCCCGGGCUCAGCCCGGGAAGGGCACUCGAAACUGCCGAGCUGGAGUGCCGGAGGGGAGAGUGGAAUUCCUGGUGUAGCGGUGAAAUGCGUAGAUAUCAGGAGGAAUACCGGUGGCGAAAGCGACUCUCUGGACCAGCACUGACACUGAGGCACGAAAGCGUGGGGAGCAAGCAGG
rnacentral:rRNA from 1 species